rnacentral:rRNA from 1 species
ACGAACCUGCGAAGGCAAGCGGAUCUCUUAAAGCCGUUCUCAGUUCGGACUGUAGGCUGCAACUCGCCUACACGAAGCUGGAAUCGCUAGUAAUCGCGGAUCAGCACGCCGCGGUGAAUACGUUCCCGGGCCUUGUACACACCGCCCGUCACACCAUGAGAGUCUGUAACACCCAAAGCCGGUGGGACAACCUUUAUAGGAGUCAGCCGUCUAAGGUAGGACAGAUGAUUAGGGUGAAGUCGUAACAAGGUAAC